rnacentral:rRNA from 1 species
GCGUACAAACCUACCUUUUACUGGGGAAGGUACGCUGAACGGACGAUAAUCCCGCCAUACGACUAUAAUAACACAUGUUAUAAUAGUGAAGGACUUCGGUUGGUAAAGAAUGGUUGUGCGUCCCACUUAGCUAGAUGGUAAGGUAACGGCUUACCAUGGCGACGAUGGGUAGGGGCGUGAGAGCGUGAUCCCCACACCGGGUACUGAGACACGGACCCGACUCCUACGGGAGGCGAGCAGUAAGGAAUAUUGGUCAAUGGAGGCAACUCUGAACCAGCCAUGCCGCGUGUGUGAUGAAUG